CGUACCUUCUCUUUAAAAAGUCUGGAAAAAGGUAUAACAGAGCCAGAGUCCAAAUAAGUUUAAGAGCGACAUUUUCAGAUGCAUGUUUAUUAAAAGGUGUCACAAUGCUAGAAGAACAUUUUAUGAUUACCACAACUUACAAACUCAUCAGAUCUCCUUAACUCCACCGUGGUAAAUUUAAGAUGAAGAGACCUGUGAAAGUCUUCUAGAGAGCACUAAAAUACAAAGAAGUACAGCACAGGAUAAAAGACACUCUAGCUAAGAAACAGCAUUUUGUACUUAGGCCAAGUCUGAAUAAUAAUGUGAGGAAACAUUGAUUCAGCGUUAAUGAACGUCUGGAGGAUUUUGUGGUAGAAAGCGGUUGCACUUUAAUACAGAGAGAUUCUGUUAAUGGAUGGAAUAAUAAAUAAAUUGACCUGAUUAAAUAGAUUUGAUUUUGCCCACUUUGUUUCUGAGCAAUGUGUGCUGUGGUUUUAGCUGAUGCGAGGAAGACAGGCUCUGAUUGCUACUGUGUAGUGGAUUUACACAAUUAAUAUGCAGAGAGUCGUAUUAAUGUUUGAGCUUAGCCGCUUGGUGAAUCCUCAGAAAACAGAGUUGAACAAAAAGUAGUUUCAGGUUUUUGUGAAGGCUCUGGGAUGCAUGUAAUUACCUAUUUGAUACCAGCCCUCAGUCCGUUGUUGGAAGUUUAGAAUUUGUCUUGUUCAUUUGCACACCCCAGAGGUAAACACCAAAUAAGCCUAUUCUUUUAGUAUAUUAAAGUCAAGAUAUCUAGAAAUGCAUUAGAUUUUGAAAGAUUUGAAAAUGGGACCAUUUUGCUGAAAACAAGUUUCCCCCACCCACCCAACAGUGCUGAUGAAACUCAUUUACAGUAAAUGGAAACCGGUUGUCACUUAACUCCAUGUGUUGAAAUCAUAGUUGUCUUUGCAUGUGCUCCAUUCAAUUUCUUGGGUAUGCAGAACCGUGUUCAUGACAUUUUUUGCCGGCACGGUGAGUUUAGGUUUAGGGAAGGUGUUUUUUUGUUGUCUUUUAUGGCAUAACUUUAUUGCAAAAUAUGGCAGAUGAACAGCAUAAUGAGUUCAGUGCAUGAGAAAUCAUUUUUUCUUAUAAUUUUGUCAGAACCUUUGUAGUCCUACAAUUUCCCCACACACACAUUAUGGAUUAUCACCUAAACAGGGAGGUAGAUCUGUUAGCACACUUUCACUUAAAGGUUGAGAAUUAGCUUUGUUUCUAUUGUAUUAGCUUGAGUUUGAUGUUUGGAUUUUCAGCUUAUGUAAGUAAAAUAUGUCGAAUUUCAUCUCCUAAUUUGAUCUACAAUGGAUUUCAUUAGCCUGUUGGUUCUUAGGGUUGAAUUUGAAUGUAUCACCAUGAAAUUUAGCACAAACCUAAUACCAGAGCAUAAAUUCUAAUUAUCAUUUUCUGAACAUCUUAUACCGUCAUAAGUGUUGACAUUAUAAACUAAGUUAAGUGGGAACAAUAGCCUUCUUUUUCUAGUACCUACAUUCAAUAUAAACUGUAUAAAUGUUUAACUUGGCUCAUGUUUUCAUUUAUCUGGACCAAAAAGUCCACCUUAUAUUUGCACCAGUGAGCCAUCUGUUGUAAGCAGAAAGCAUACACUUGCAUGAAAUAAGUUUCACAUUGUCAUGUUCUGAAAACCCGAUGGUUGCUAUGCUAGAAACAUUUUUUUCAAGUAUACUGUAGAAUCAAAAAUUUACUAUAUCAACAAGUAUAUUGCAAAAAAGAAUGAAUUUUGCCCCAGAAAAAGCAUGUAUCUGGCUGGUAAUCAUACAGUUAACAUGCAUGAGACACAAUGAAUCAAAACAACAUACAAACAAACUCCCGAAUUGCUCCAGAAAGUUGGAAUUUAUUUUUUUAAAGCAAGAUUUCUUCCUGUGGAAGACUGAUGAAAAGUCUGAUACUGUAUUAAAUUGAAGCAAGGAAUUUUACAUCUCAUUUGCUUGCAGCACCUGGCUUUGUCCAAAAUAUUUAUUAAAGAUAGAUGCUGAUUAUAUACCUGUUCUCAUGUCAUGUAAUAAGCAUAUCCUACCUGCAUAGAAUUAAGGGCUAUAUUUUAAGUUCACUCCAAUUUCUCUGACUUUUAAAGUGAUACCACCUGUAAUCUAUAGUUUGACACUCACCAUUACAAGACUCGGUGAACACUGAAAGCUGCUGCAAAAGUUGGUAGUUUCUUUGAGGAAAUUUUGAUAAUUAGCCUGCAGCAUUAACUUGUAGCGCAAACUGAUGUACAGCGGAGAAAUUGUUGUAAUUUUAUUUUUAGCUAUUAAAUUAAGAAGACUGCAAACAUUUUCAGCCACAUUUAAAGCCAUGGUGUUUAAUAAUAAAAAAGCAGAUUCACAGUGAUGUAUCACUUUAAAAAGAAUAAGAGCCAGUUAAACUGUAUCAUUUUUAUAGAAACUAGUCUUUCAUGAAGUGUAUAGUUUUGCUAAUAUUUUUUGUCUGAAUAUUGGUCCUGGGUAGCACCAUGUCAAAAGAAUGUUAACUUAAAUAUAAGUUACCUCCUGGGCAGAAUCAAACUAAUUAUUUUGACGUCUACCAUCAGCACUGUUAUCUAGUAUUUUAAUGAAUAUGAGACCCAGCAUCACAUUUAUGUUGUUUACUGAUUCAUUAAUGAUUUAAUGUAAAAAAAUAAAUAAUCAUAUCGCUUCUCCUGUAAAAUCUAGUAGUAAUUACAGGACACGGGACUCUGAGGUUUCUUGCUCAUUAAGAGGUUAUUAUAUAUCAUGUAAAAAUGAGCUAUUGGAAAAUCUCAAAUGUGACAAAUUUUCAUUCACACAUGGUUCAUUUUGAUUUUGACUGUAAAUUUCAAAUUUAGAAUGGAUGUGAUGCACAUUUGAUAUGUUGGGAUGGCGAACAGAAUGGCUGUUCAGGAUAUAUUUUCUUAUUCAUGCGGUGUCAUUUAUGUACUCAAACAAUGACCACAGUCAUCACACAAAUGUCUGCAUUUUCCAUUUUAUCUACAUAGCUACUGAGGCUAGGUUUGAAUGUUGUUUUAAGGAAAUUUAACACAAUGCAAUACUACAAAUUACUGAUUUAAUUCCCAAAGAAAUGUAAUCAUAUUUCUCCUCCUAGUUUAUAAAAAAGAAACAAACUUGGUGAAUUAAAGAGAACAAGAUUUUUAAUUUGUUUAUUUUUGUCAAAUCAGAUUUGGCGCAGCAAAAGUGGACAGUAAAUGGUAAUAAUUGAAGUUGAAUUCUAUAUGUAUAUGUGAGAUGUAAAUUUCAAGUGUGCGCAUAAUAUUAUAAUGGUUAUAAAUAUGUAUGAUUUUUUUUUUAAUUAUCAAAGGGCUGGCGUGUCUUUUCUACUUUUUUUGGGUACUGUGUUACAAUCAGUUAUGUUUUUGAUUUGUACUGAGUUGUAUUAUCUUGGUUUGUUAUUUGGACGUGAAUCCUGGGCAUUCAUUUCACAGGUUGAACCCAUCAUUGUCAAGUCUGACUGCACCUCUUGGGUAAACAAAAUGCAGCCAAUGUCUGUUUUAGACUUUGAAUGAAGUUAAAUUUUAUACUCCCCCAGGCUGAAAGAUUUGCGUCUGCAAGUUUCAAAAAUAGAACUUGUUUUUUUUUUUUUCUUUUUUGUGUUUUGCCUAAAUUCUUUGUUAAAACUAAGAAUCGUGCUCAAGAAGGGAAUUAAAUUGUUGCAUGUUUGACGUCACUGCUUACAAAAUUCAAAAUGUGUCUGACCAUUUGAUGUUUGUCUAGUCUGGACUGUUUUAAAACUCAUAUUGCAUCUGUGUAAUUGGCAAGCAAAUGUGCAUUGCUAUCAAGUAUCAGCAGACUAUCAUAGAAAUGAUUAUUGCUGCUAGGAGCUAAAGGAGUCUGUAUCAGCUGUGUCAUAACUGCACCUCAAUGCAGAAAAAAACCAUUUAAAGAUGUGCAGAGUGUAAAUAUAGUGUUGAUUUUCUUCUAUGCUACAAAUUAGCCUUUUAUUGAAACACAUCUUUGUUAAUGCAAUGGAUUUUAUGAAAACAUUUAUGUUCCUCUACAGGUACAAAAACUGUGUUGUACAGACGGUUCACAGUUGGCAUUGGCCUCCUCUUCAGAUCAUGUGUUUUAAAAAAAAUAUCGCAUGGGAUUAAAAUUGAAUCUGCCUCUGA